UACGGGAGGCAGCAGUGGGGAAUAUUGCACAAUGGGCGCAAGCCUGAUGCGGCCAUGCCGCGUGUAUGAAGAAGGCCUUCGGGUUGUAAAGUACUUUCAGUCGUGAGGAAGGUGUUAAGGUUAAUAACCUUAGCAAUUGACGUUAGCGACAGAAGAAGCACCGGCUAACUCCGUGCCAGCAGCCGCGGUAAUACGGAGGGUGCGAGCGUUAAUCGGAAUUACUGGGCGUAAAGGGCACGCAGGCGGUUAAUUAAGUUGGAUGUGAAAUCCCCGGGCUUAACCUGGGAAUGGCAUUCAAGACUGGUUAGCUAGAGUCUUGUAGAGGGGGUAGAAUUCCAUGUGUAGCGGUGAAAUGCGUAGAGAUGUGGAGGAAUACCGGUGGCGAAGGCGGCCCCUGGACAAAGACUGACGCUCAUGUGCGAAAGCGUGGGGAGCAAAC
rnacentral:rRNA from 1 species